rnacentral:rRNA from 1 species
AUUGAACGCUGGCGGCAUGCUUUACACAUGCAAGUCGAACGGUAACAGGCCGCAAGGUGCUGACGAGUGGCGAACGGGUGAGUAAAGCAUCGGAACGUGCCCAGUCGUGGGGGAUAACGCAGCGAAAGCUGCGCUAAUACCGCAUACGAUCUAUGGAUGAAAGCGGGGGACCGUAAGGCCUCGCGCGAUUGGAGCGGCCGAUGUCAGAUUAGGUAGGUGGUGGGGUAAAGGCUCACCAAGCCAACGAUCUGUAGCUGGUCUGAGAGGACGACCAGCUGCGCUGGGACUGAGACACGGCCCAGACUCCUACGGGAGGCAGCAGUGGGGAAUUUUGGACAAUGGGCGCAAGCCUGAUUCAGCAAUGCCGCGUGCAGGAAGAAGGCCUUCGGGUUGUAAACUGCUUUUGUACGGAACGAAAAGGCUCUGGUUAAUACCUGGGGCUCAUGACGGUACCGUAAGAAUAAGCACCGGCUAACUACGUGCCAGCCGCCGCGGUAACAC